UAUCUUAGUAGCGUGAGCCGGUAACUCGAGCGAGAGCUUUAAGCUGGUUGGAGUUUGGCUUGGUCCAGAGGGUCGGGCUCUGCUGGGUAAUGCACAGGCAUGCCCAUCUCAAGUAUAGAGUUGGCUCAUGGUCACUUAGCGAAGGCUUUGUGGUCCUGGUCAAUAAUGUGGAAGGCACUCCAGUUAGGCUGGUUGAAACCAGAGCAGCGAUCACUUUCCUCUCUUGGGCGUGAGCCUGUAACUGGAGCGAGAUUUUUAAGCUUAGUAUGAUAUUUUCUACACCUGAUUG
rnacentral:SRP_RNA from 1 species